rnacentral:rRNA from 1 species
GAUGAACGCUGGCGGCGUGCCUAAUACAUGCAAGUCGAGCGAACAGACGAGGAGCUUGCUCCUCUGACGUUAGCGGCGGACGGGUGAGUAACACGUGGAUAACCUACCUAUAAGACUGGGAUAACUUCGGGAAACCGGAGCUAAUACCGGAUAAUAUAUUGAACCGCAUGGUUCAAUAGUGAAAGACGGUUUUGCUGUCCCUUAUAGAUGGAUCCGCGCCGCAUUAGCUAGUUGGUAAGGUAACGGCUUACCAAGGCAACGAUGCGUAGCCGACCUGAGAGGGUGAUCGGCCACACUGGAACUGAGACACGGUCCAGACUCCUACGGGAGGCAGCAGUAGGGAAUCUUGCGCAAUGGGCGAAAGCUUGACGGAGCAACGCCGCGUGAGUGAUGAAGGUCUUCGGAUCGUAAAACUCUGUUAUUAGGGAAGAACAAAUGUGUAAGUAACUAUGCACGUCUUGACGGUACCUAAUCAGAAAGCCACGGCUAACUACGUG